CCUACGGGUGGCAGCAGUAGGGAAUAUUGCUCAAUGGGGGAAACCCUGAAGCAGCAACGCCGCGUGGAGGAUGAAGGUUUUCGGAUUGUAAACUCCUUUUGUUAGAGAAGAUAAUGACGGUAUCUAACGAAUAAGCACCGGCUAACUCCGUGCCAGCAGCCGCGGUAAUACGGAGGGUGCAAGCGUUACUCGGAACCACUGGGCGUAAGGAGCGCGUAGGCGGGAUAGAAAGUCAGAUGUGAAAUCCUAUGGCUUAACCAUAGAACUGCAUUUGAAACUGUUAUUCUAGAGUAUGGGAGAGGUAGGUGGAAUUCUUGGUGUAGGGGUAAAAUCCGUAGAGAUCAAGAGGAAUACUCAUUGCGAAGGCGACCAGCUAGAACAUAACUGACGCUGAUGCGCGAAAGCGUGGGGAGCAAACAGGAUUAGAUACCCCUGUAGUC
rnacentral:rRNA from 1 species